ACUACUUCUCUAGUAUUUCUCAAGUAUUAUGAGAAUACUUUUCAUAAUUUUCAAAAGAUCCUAUCAUGGAUCUGCCUAAAAUCGAUGAUUAUGCACAAGGCAUAAAUCACAUCAGGCUUGGUACAUUGAAUAUAUGGAUAAGUAAACUCAUUUACACCCAUUCAUAUUGAACUCUUUCAACAUAAAUUUCAUGUAUCUAGAC
rnacentral:lncRNA from 1 species